GACGAACGCUGGCGGCGUGCCUAAUACAUGCAAGUAGGACGCAGUUGCGAACGGGUGAGUAACGCGUAGGUAACUGCCUAUUAGAGGGGGAUAACUAUUGGAAACGAUAGCUAAUACCGCAUACUAGUAAAUGGACCUGCGUUGUAUUAGCGAGUAGGUAGGGUAAUGGCCUACCUAGGCGACGAUACAUAGCCGACCUGAUAGGGUGAUCGGCAAAACUGGGACUGAGACACGGCCCAGACGUCUACGGGAGGCAGCAGUAGGGAAUCUUCGGCAAUGGGAGGAACCCUGACCGAGCAACGCCGCGUGAGUGAAGAAGGUUUUCGUAGAGUAAAGCUCUGUUGUUAAGGAAGCGGUACUUAACCAGAAAGGGACGACUAACUACGUGCCAGCAGCCGCGGUAAUUC
rnacentral:rRNA from 1 species